AAAAAAUAAAUUCUCUUGCCUGUGCUCCCAACAAGGAGAGGCUGCUUACUCAUGGAAUGCUGUAAGCCGCAUGACCUAGAGUAGCAGCAGCUAAUCCUUUAAUCUAUCUUUUAAGUCGGGAAUUUCUUGCAAAGAUGAGAUAGUUAACUUAUAAGUUGGUGCUUGUAUAUCGCGAGAAAUACAUCGAGCCACUUCAGAUGAUUCAUUUCCUGUGCUGAGGAUGGAACAACUAAGCUGCCAAGUUUCUUCAAUUUAUUAGGCAUCAAUUAUGGCUUUUGGAAGCAGCUUGGGGGUGGGCAUUUCAGCCUAUUUUAGCUUGGCAUCGUUAAAGGAAGUUUUUCGGACUUCAAGGGCGUGUGAGAGGACAAGUAUCAGAGCGAGAAAUUCAUUUCAGAUUCUGAGAUAGAGAGAGAUCCGUUGCGUGAGCAACCCGACUGUUUUCUUUCCCCGAUUUCUUUUCGAAGGAGAGGCCUUCGCAUCCCUAAUCCGGUGGGGUCGGAUGGCUUUGUUUGUCCCAGCUUGGCGAAUCGCUUCCCGGCACAACGACAUUGUUUGUUUGUGCGUUCUUUACCGUUCUCGCUCAGUAUUUCAAUGGCUGGGAAGGCAGUCUACGAAACGAAGCCUAUAGCCACGCCGACCAUCAAUUACA